rnacentral:rRNA from 1 species
UACGGAGGGGAGUAGCGCUGUUCGGAAUUACUGGGCGUAAAGCGCACGUAGGCGGACUUUUAAGUCGGGGGUGAAAUCCCAGGGCUCAACCCUGGAACUGCCUUCGAUACUGGAGGUCUGGAGGUCGAGAGAGGCGAGUGGAAUGCCGAGUGUAGAGGUGAAAUUCGUAGAUAUUCGGCGGAACACCAGUGGCGAAGGCGGCUCGCUGGCUCGAUACUGACGCUGAGGUGCGAAAGCGUGGGGUGCAAACAGG